rnacentral:rRNA from 1 species
CCUACGGGGGGCAGCAGUGAGGAAUAUUGGUCAAUGGACGAGAGUCUGAACCAGCCAAGUAGCGUGAAGGAUGACUGCCCUAUGGGUUGUAAACUUCUUUUAUAUGGGAAUAAAAUGUUCCACGUGUGGGAUUUUGUAUGUACCAUAUGAAUAAGGAUCGGCUAACUCCGUGCCAGCAGCCGCGGUAAUACGGAGGAUCCGAGCGUUAUCCGGAUUUAUUGGGUUUAAAGGGAGCGUAGGUGGAUUGUUAAGUCAGUUGUGAAAGUUUGCGGCUCAACCGUAACAUUGCAGUUGAAACUGGCAGUCUUGAGUACAGUAGAGGUGGGCGGAAUUCGUGGUGUAGCGGUGAAAUGCUUAGAUAUCACGAAGAACUCCGAUUGCGAAGGCAGUUCACUGGACUGCAACUGACACUGAGGCUCGAAAGUGUGGGUAUCAAACAGGAUUAGAUACCCUUGUAGUC